UCUACUUUGAAGAAAGAACUCUGAAGAACUGAAAAACAUAGAAGGUCUAAGUAGAAUUUAUUGAUUUAUGUUUAGCUAUUUUAGGGGUUUUGAUCUAUUUUUAGUUUAGGGUUUCAGAAUUUAACUGAUUUUAUGGUUUGUUAUUGUUAUAUGAUUACAGUUUGCUCAUCAGAGUUUGAACAUAGAAGAAGUGGUCAGAAUUGAAUUUGGAAGAUUUAACAAGAAUAAUUCGGUCGCUGAUGCACCUUCACCUGCUCAAACACCUUCACCUGGGCAAACCAUAUCACCAGCUCGAUCAUCAGCAAGUGUUGAAAUGCAUCCAUGUUCAUUGUUGAACAUGGAUGAGGAAGUUUUGGGUGUUGGUAGUCUGUGUACUGGUGCUAUGGGACGUAUGUAUCACGGCUCUAUUGUACCAGCUAAUCUUGGAAAGGUGUUGGUGGAUAAGAUUCUCAUGCCAGAUGCACCAGUCGUAAAAGCUAACAAGUUUGUUGACAUCUUUAAAGAUGUUGUUGUUGGAGGGUACGUGAUUCAUCCAAAUAAGUGCAUCAAGAUGGACUAGUUGGGUUGGCGGUCGACCUACUUUUUUGGAGAUAUGUAAUGAAACUCUCCAUUGAUAUCUUAACCAUCAAUUAACGCUCGAUAACUGACAAACAUAUAUGGCUGUUAUCUUUUUUGCUUAUAUAUGUUCACACUUCUGUACAUGUGCUUAACAUGCUAAAAUGUAGAUGCAGUUGCACUACAGUUGUAUCUUAGGAAAAACUUUGAAUCCUAAUGUAUCUAUGUGAACCGGCAGUACUAAUAUAAUCAGUUUUUCUUUUA